rnacentral:rRNA from 1 species
GCAGUUAAAAAGCUCGUAGUUGAACUUCAGACCUGGCCGGGUGGUCUGCCUCACGGUAUGUACUGUCUGGCUGGGUCUUACCUCUUGGUGAGCCGGCAUGCCCUUUACUGGGUGUGUCGGGGAACCAGGACUUUUACCUUGAGAAAAUUAGAGUGUUCAAAGCAGGCCUAUGCCUGAAUACAUUAGCAUGGAAUAAUAAAAUAGGACGUGCGGUUCUAUUUUGUUGGUUUCUAGAGUCGCCGUAAUGAUUAAUAGGGAUAGUUGGGGGCAUUAGUAUUCAGUUGCUAGAGGUGAAAUUCUUGGAUUUACUGAAGACUAACUACUGCGAAAGCAUUUGCCAAGGAUGUUUUCAUUAAUCAAGAACGAAGGUUAGGGGAUCGAAAACGAUCAGAUACCGUUGUAGUCUUAACAGUAAACUAUGCCGACUAGGGAUCGGGCGACCUCAAUCUUAUGUGUCGCUCGGCACCUUACGAGAAAUCAAGUCUUUGGGUUCUGGGGGGAGUAUGGUCGCAAGGGCUGAAACUUAAAGGAAUUGACGGAAGGGCACCACCAGGAGUGGAGCCUGCGGCUUAAUUUGACUCAACACGGGGAAACUCACCAGGUCCAGACAUGACUAGGAUUGACAGAUUGAUAGCUCUUUCAUGAUUUUAUGGGUGGUGGUGCAUGGCCGUUCUUAGUUGGUGGAGUGAUUUGUCUGGUUAGUUCCGAUAACGAACGAGACCUUAACCUGCUUAAUAGCCAGGCCGGCUUUUGCUGGUCGCCGGCUUCUUAGAGGGACUGUCUGCGUCUAGCAGACGGAAGUUUGAGGCAAUAACAGGUCUGUGAUGCCCUUAGAUGUUCUUGGCCGCACGCGCGCUACACUGACUGAGCCAGCGAGUUUUUUUCCUUGGCCGGAAGGUCUGGGUAAUCUUGUGAAACUCUGUCGUGCUGGGGAUAGAGCAUUGCAAUUAUUGCUCUUCAACGAGGAAUUCCUAGUAAGCGUGA